GACGAACGCUGGCGGCGUGCUUAACACAUGCAAGUCGAACGGCGUGGCGAACGGGUGUGUAACACGUGGGUGACCUGCCCUGCACUUCGGGAUAAGCCUGGGAAGCUGGUUCUACUACCGGCUAGUGUGGGAUGGGCCCGCGGCCUAUCAGCUUGUUGGUGGGGUAAUGGCCUCCCAAGGCGGCGACGGGUAGCCGACCUGGGAGGGUGGACGGCCACAUUGGGACUGAGAGACGGACCAGUCUCGAACGGGGGGCAGCAGUGGGGAAUAUUGCACAAUGGGCGGAAGCCUGAUGAAGAGACGCCGGGUGGGGGAUGACGGCUUUCGGGUUGUAAACUCCUUUCACCAUCGACGCGGUAGAUGGAGAAGAAGCACCGGCUAACUACGUGCCAGCAGCCGCGGUAAUUC
rnacentral:rRNA from 1 species